ensembl:ncRNA K07C10.5 ncRNA
AAAAAGAUAAGCCCAAUGCGGGGCUCGAACCCGCGACAACCAGAUUAAGAGUCUGGUGCUCUACCGACUGAGCUAACCGGGCAGCGCUUCACAUAGAAAAAUGAGGGUUUAUGUAGCCGUGGUCUCUCGCUGUCUUACAACU